AAAAGCUCGUUUGAUUCUGAU
rnacentral:snRNA from 1 species